GGCUUAGAGUUUGAUCAUGGCUCAGGAUGAACGCUAGCGACAGGCUUAACACAUGCAAGUCGAGGGGCAGCAUGAGGUAGCAAUACCUUGAUGGCGACCGGCGCACGGGUGAGUAACGCGUAUGCAACCUGCCAUAUACCGGGGUAUAGCCCAUGGAAACGUGGAUUAACACCCCAUAGUACUUUUAUCCUGCCUGGGAUGGGAGUUAAAUGUUCAAGGUAUGUGAUGGGCAUGCGUCCUAUUAGUUAGUUGGCGGGGUAACAGCCCACCAAGACGAUGAUAGGUAGGGGUUCUGAGAGGAAGGUCCCCCACAUUGGAACUGAGACACGGUCCAAACUCCUACGGGAGGCAGCAGUGAGGAAUAUUGGUCAAUGGACGAGAGUCUGAACCAGCCAAGUCGCGUGAGGGAAGACUGCCCUAUGGGUUGUAAACCUCUUUUAUAAGGGAAGAAUAAGUUCUACGUGUAGAAUGAUGCCUGUACCUUAUGAAUAAGCAUCGGCUAACUCCGUGCCAGCAGCCGCGGUAAUACGGAGGAUGCGAGCGUUAUCCGGAUUUAUUGGGUUUAAAGGGUGCGUAGGCGGUUUAUUAAGUUAGUGGUUAAAUGUUUGAGCUAAACUCAAUACAGCCAUUAAUACUGGUAAACUGGAGUUCAGACGAGGUAGGCGGAAUAAGUUAAGUAGCGGUGAAAUGCAUAGAUAUAACUUAGAACUCCGAUAGCGAAGGCAGCUUACCAGACUGAAACUGACGCUGAUGCACGAGAGCGUGGGUAGCGAACAGGAUUAGAUACCCUGGAGUCCACGCCGUAAACGAUGCUCACUGGUUCUGUGCGAUAUACUGUACGGAUUAAGCGAAAGUAUUAAGUGAGCCACCUGG
rnacentral:rRNA from 1 species